AUUGCCAGCAUUAAGACAGAAAUGCUAUAUGAAUCCACAGCAUGGGUGAAGCUGAAGGCAGCAGCAAUGUAAGCUUCCUCACAGUGCCCAGCCAAUUUCUACAACCCUGUUCAAAAGAGAUCACUAUUAGGUAUUAAAAGGGUUAUUGUUAAUGCUACCCUGGAGACUAGUUAGA
ensembl:misc_RNA